AUUGAACGCUGGCGGCAUGCUUUACACAUGCAAGUCGAACGGUAACAGGUCUUCGGAUGCUGACGAGUGGCGAACGGGUGUGUAAUACAUCGGAACGUGCCUAGUAGUGGGGGAUAACUACUCGAAAGAGUAGCUAAUACCGCAUGAGAUCUACGGAUGAAAGCAUGGGACCUUCUGGCCUUGUUCUACUAUAGCGGCUGAUGGCAGAUUAGGUAGUUGUUGGGGUAAAGGCUUACCAAGCCUGCGAUCUGUAGCUGGUCUGAGAGGACGACCAGCCACACUGGAACUGAGACACGGCCCAGACUCCUACGGGAGGCAGCAGUGGGGAAUAUUGGACAAUGGGCGAAAGCCUGAUCCAGCAAUGCCGCGUGCAGGAUGAAGGACCUCGGGUUGUAAACUGCUUUUGUACGGAAGGAAAAGAAUGGGGCUAAUAUCCCCGGGUAAUGACGGUACCGUAAGAAUAAGCACCGGCUAACUACGUG
rnacentral:rRNA from 1 species